rnacentral:rRNA from 1 species
AGUCACUGACAUUAGAUACCCGUGUAGUCCAGGGUGUAAACGCUGCAGACUUGGUGUUGGAAGUCCUUUGGGGGCAUUCAGUGCCGGAGAGAAGUUGUUAAGUCUGCUACUUGGGGAGUACGUCCGCAAGGAUAGAAAACUUAAAGGAAUUGGCGGGGGAGCACCGCAACGGGAGGAGCGUGCGGUUUAAUUGGAUUCAACACCGUAAAACUCACCAGGGAAGACUGUUACAUGAAAGCCGAGAUGAAGACUCUGCUAGAUUUUCAG